GGGGUGGCUAUACUGCAGUCGAGCGGACUUGAGGGAGCUUGCUCCCGAUGGUCAGCGGCGGACGGGUGAGUAACACGUGGGCAACCUGCCUGUAAGACUGGGAUAACUCCGGGAAACCGGGGCUAAUACCGGAUAAUUCAUUCCCUCACAUGAGGGAAUGCUGAAAGACGGCUUCUGCUGGCACCUACCAAUUGGGCCGGCGCCGAAUAGCUUGUUUGUUGAGUUACCGCUUCACCAGGCCCCGAUCGCUUGUCGAACUGGACGGUGAUCCGCCCCUACUGGGACUGAGCCCGCCCAAAAUUCAUAGGGAAGCAGCAGUAGGGAUCCUCCGCAUUGACGAAAGUCUGACGGAGCACGCCGCGUGACCAAGAGGGCCUCGGUUCGUAAAGCUUCUGUUGUCAGGAAAGAACCAGUACCGGAGUAACUGCCGGUACUUGGACGUACUUGACCAGAAGGCCACCGGCUACUACGUGCAGCAGCCGCGUAAUACGUAGUAGCAAGCGUGUCCGGAAUAUGGGCGUAAGCCGCGCGCAGCGUCCUUUAGUCUGAUGGUGAAGCCCCACCGCCUCACCGUGGAGGGUCAUUGGAACUGGGGUACUUGAGUGCAGAAGAGAAAGCGGAAUUCCCACUGUAGCGUUGAAUGCGUAGAAGAUGUGGAGGAACCACAGUUGCGAGGCGCUUUUUUGUCUGGUACUGACGCUGAAGCGCCGAAGCGUGGGGAGCGAACAGGAUUAGAUACCCUGGUAAGUCCACGCCGUAAACGAUGAAGUGCUAAGUUGUAGAGGGUUCCGCCCUUUAGUGCUGCAGCAAACGCAUUAAGCAACUCCGCCUGGGGAGUACGCCGGCAAGGCUGAAACCUCAAAAGAAUUGACGGGGGCCCGCACAAGCGGUGGAGCCUGUGGUUUUAUUCGAAGCACCGCGAAGACCUUAACGGUCUGAAAUUCCUCUGCCACUUCUGGAGACAGGACGUUCCCUUCGGGACAAGGAACAGUGUUCAUGUUUCCUCAGCUCUGUUCGGAGAUUUGGUAGUCCGCAACGAGCCCACCUGUCCUAGUGCAGCACUCAGUGGGCACCUAGGAC
rnacentral:rRNA from 2 species